UACGGGGGGGGCAAGCGUUGUUCGGAAUUACUGGGCGUAAAGGGCUCGUAGGCGGCCAACUAAGUCAUACGUGAAAUCCCCCGGCUUAACCGGGGAACUGCGUCUGAUACUGGAUGGCUUGAGUUCGGGAGAGGGAUGCGGAAUUCCAGGUGUAGCGGUGAAAUGCGUAGAUAUCGAGAGGAACACCUGCGGCGAAGGCGGGUUGCUGGGCUGAUACUGAGCUGAUGCGCGAAAGCCAGGGGAGCGAACGGGG
rnacentral:rRNA from 1 species